AGCGAACGCUGGCGGCAGGCUUAACACAUGCAAGUCGAGCGGGCAUCCUUGUGGUGUCAGCGGCAGACGGGUGAGUAACGCGUGGGAACGUGCCCUUCGGUUCGGAAUAACUCAGGGAAACUUGAGCUAAUACCGGAUACGUGCGAGAGCAGAAAGGUUUAUCUGCCGAAGGAUCGGCCCGCGUCUGAUUAGCUAGUUGGUGAGGUAUGGCUCACCAAGGCGACGAUCAGUAGCUGGUCUGAGAGGAUGAUCAGCCACACUGGGACUGAGACACGGCCCAGACUCCUACGGGAGGCAGCAGUGGGGAAUAUUGGACAAUGGGGGCAACCCUGAUCCAGCCAUGCCGCGUGAGUGAUGACGGCCUUAGGGUUGUAAAGCUCUUUUCUUCGGGACGAUAAUGACGGUACCGGAGGAAUAAGCCCCGGCUAACUUCGUG
rnacentral:rRNA from 1 species